rnacentral:rRNA from 1 species
AUGAAGACAGUGGGAGGAAGACAAGCUGCUGGUUUGGCUAUUUGGGGAAGAAUGGAGAUGUGUGAAGUGUUGGCAAUGGCUUGCUCUGCUCUCUCUUCUUUUAAUAUCAGAAAACCAUCUUCCUUGGCUGGUUUGCUGAAAAUUUGGUGUUGUGGAUUAUUAUUGGUUGAUUUCUGCCCAUUGCCUCUACUGCAAUCUUGCCUCCAGUGUUUCGCAGAAAAGGAAUAUCAAACGGAAUCCAAACAGAAUGAAACCUUCGGGAGGGUUAUUUUUGGAACAAACGUGAUUCAGGAGACUUGGAGUGGACGUCAAGAAAGAAGCGAAGAGGCCAUGAGGCAAGAGGGCACACCCAGGGGGGUUAGCGCACCCCCCAUCCUAGUGGGCCCCUCGCAGCUCCACCGACGUACUUCUUCCUCCUAUAUAUACCCAUAUACCCUGAAAACAUCCAGGAGCACCGUGAAACCCUAUUUCCACCGCCGCAACCUUCUGUACCCAUGA